ACAUGCAAGUCGAGCGGACAGAAGGGAGCUUGCUCCCCGGAUGUUAGCGGCGGACGGGUGAGUAACACGUGGGUAACCUGCCUGUAAGACUGGGAUAACUCCGGGAAACCGGAGCUAAUACCGGAUAGUUCCUUGAACCGCAUGGUUCAAGGAUGAAAGACGGUUUCGGCUGUCACUUACAGAUGGACCCGCGGCGCAUUAGCUAGUUGGUGGGGUAAUGGCUCACCAAGGCGACGAUGCGUAGCCGACCUGAGAGGGUGAUCGGCCACACUGGGACUGAGACACGGCCCAGACUCCUACGGGAGGCAGCAGUAGGGAAUCUUCCGCAAUGGACGAAAGUCUGACGGAGCAACGCCGCGUGAGUGAUGAAGGUUUUCGGAUCGUAAAGCUCUGUUGUUAGGGAAGAACAAGUGCGAGAGUAACUGCUCGCACCUUGACGGUACCUAACCAGAAAGCCACGGCUAACUACGUGCCAGCAGCCGCGGUAAUACGUAGGUGGCAAGCGUUGUCCGGAAUUAUUGGGCGUAAAGGGCUCGCAGGCGGUUUCUUAAGUCUGAUGUGAAAGCCCCCGGCUCAACCGGGGAGGGUCAUUGGAAACUGGGAAACUUGAGUGCAGAAGAGGAGAGUGGAAUUCCACGUGUAGCGGUGAAAUGCGUAAAGAUGUGGAGGAACACCAGUGGCGAAGGCGACUCU
rnacentral:rRNA from 1 species